CCAAAGGAUUUUGUGCGUUUGUUUCUCUGUUUUGUCAGAUUUUUGAUUUUGAUUUUCUACUGGGCUCAUGUGUCCCUGUAAGAUGGAUGAGGCGCGUGUGUGAGUCUAUAUCCGUGGUUUGAAUGAGUAUAUCAACAGUGCUGUUCUUUUCUGUACAGUGAAACACCUGUAUUCUCUCUACCUCUUUUACAAUAAAGACUCUCUGUAUUCACAACCAGACAGUUGCUGCUCUGGAUUUGUGUCAAAAGGCUUGAAGGAUAUAAGCGUGCAGUAUUUAAGUGUUGAGUCACUAUAAUCACACCUUAGUUUUGCCAUCUUUUACCCAAUUUUGGAUGUUUUCCUCUUUUUCCCUCAAUAUGAUGGAGAUGAAUUUGAUUUCUGCCACAGAUCUCUGUAAGUACUUUUUUUAUAUUGAAACGGUAAUAAAAAAACGGACCACGCGGGAUUGUUUUAGGAUGUAUUGGGGCCAGGUUGAAGUAUAAAGUUGUUUAUGUGUUAAACGUUUAAGAUUAAUGAAUUCAGACGCUGCCUCAGACCGAAUCAUAAAUAUAUAUUAUAUAUAAACCAUUUCACAGCUGUAAACUUAAGCAUUCUAAAUGUUCCCAGUUAGUUAGGGAGUAAAGCUGGAUCCAAAUUCAGACAGAUGUGGAAUACAGAUUCAGAUUUAGCAUAAUAAUGUGUGAAUAAUGAAGCAGGAGAAGCAUGUAAAUAUGUUCUAGAAGUAACUGAAAAAUAAAGAACAUAUUUUCAAAAAUAGACACUGAAAAAGUAGACCACUACAACACAAUACGAUGUGAUACCACGUUUCACACAGAGCAUGUGUUGUAUUUAGCUUUAUACAAUGUUCUGCAAGAUAAAAUCCUUUUUAGAGUCAAUGUCUAUUUACUUUUGAUUGGCAGAUAUACUGGAGUUCGUUGUGGACUUUUAUGUGUUUGUUUUUUCAGCGUUUAUUUUCGAAAAAGGUUUUUACAUUUUUAAACACCUUUGACGGUAGUUACCAUGGAAACCAUCAAUGCAUCUUUGAGUUUCAGUGAGGAAAAGACACCGGAUCGCCUGGCAGCUUCAACUUCAUCGAGAGACAAAAGAAGAAAAAAAACAGAAGAGAAGACAACCAUCAACAUGAGCUCAUCAGAGACAUCAACAAAUCCAGCCGGACCUCGUGGGGAGGGUGAGGAGAGUCUCACCGGGGGGCAAGUAGAUCCACGUCAGUGUGCUGACACUGUGGAGAAACCACACUGCUGCGCCUCGACCUCCUCAGAGCAUGACGGAGGAGGCCCCUCCACCUGUGAGGCCCAUCCAGGAGAGAAGCCCUUCACCUGUGAGCAGUGUGGGAGGAGUUUCUAUCAAAAAGCCAAUUUGAAGAAUCACCAGCGGAUCCAUACUGGUGAGAAGCCCUUCACCUGUGAGCAGUGUGGGAGGAGUUUCUAUCGAAAAGCCGAUUUGAAGACUCACCAGCGGAUCCAUACUGGUGAGAAGCCCUUCACCUGUGAGCAGUGUGGGAGGAGUUUCCGUCACCGUCGGCCUUUCAGGGAUCAUCAACACGUUCACGCUGGAGAAUAAAGUGAGGCUCGUGAGUCUCUCUUUGGUGCGAAGCUUCGACCUGGACUGUCUGUAUCUCUAGUUGUUAAAAAAAGUCACAUGAUAUCAACAAGUUGACAUUAAAAGAUCAUUGACGUUUA